rnacentral:RNase_P_RNA from 1 species
UCAGAUGGCCGGGUGACCGCGGGUCUCGCAAGAGGUUCGAGGAAAGUCCGGGCUCCACGGAAAAACGGUGCCGGAUAACGUCCGGCGGGGGCGACCCCAGGGAUAGCGCCACAGAAAUGACACCGCCUAAGACCCUAAAGGUCCGGCAAGGUUGAAAUGGUGCGGUAAGAGCGCACCGCGUUCCUGGCAACAGGAGCGGCUAGGCAAGCCCCACCGGGAGCAAGACCAAAUAGGGACGGCACGUAGGCUUUUUCGGCCAGCCGUCCGGGUCGGUCGCGUGAGGUGUGGGGUAACCCGCAUCCCAGAGGAAUGGUCACCCCUUCAGCAAUGAAGGACAGAACCCGGCUUAUAGGCCAUCUGACAUU